rnacentral:rRNA from 1 species
UGCCAGACUCCUACGGGAGGCAGCAGUGAGGAAUAUUGGUCAAUGGCCGGAAGGCUGAACCAGCCAAGUCGCGUGAGGGACGACUGCCCUAUGGGUUGUAAACCUCUUUUAUAAGGGAAGAAUAAAUGCUACGUGUAGCAUGAUGCCUGUACCUUAUGAAUAAGCAUCGGCUAACUCCGUGCCAGCAGCCGCGGUAAUACGGAGGAUGCGAGCGUUAUCCGGAUUUAUUGGGUUUAAAGGGUGCGUAGGCGGGCUGUUAAGUCAGCGGUCAAAUGUCGGGGCUCAACCCCGGCCUGCCGUUGAAACUGGCGGCCUCGAGUGGGCGAGAAGUAUGCGGAAUGCGUGGUGUAGCGGUGAAAUGCAUAGAUAUCACGCAGAACUCCGAUUGCGAAGGCAGCAUACCGGCGCCCGACUGACGCUGAGGCACGAAAGCGUGGGUAUCGAACAGGAUUAGAUACCCGAGUAAA